rnacentral:rRNA from 1 species
GACGAACGCUGGCGGCGUGCUUAACACAUGCAAGUCGAACGGAAAGGCCCUGCUUUUGUGGGGUGCUCGAGUGGCGAACGGGUGAGUAACACGUGAGUAACCUGCCCUUGACUUUGGGAUAACUUCAGGAAACUGGGGCUAAUACCGGAUAGGAGCUCCUGCUGCAUGGUGGGGGUUGGAAAGUUUCGGCGGUUGGGGAUGGACUCGCGGCUGAUCAGCUUGUUGGUGGGGUAGUGGCUUACCAAGGCUUUGACGGGUAGCCGGGCUGAGAGGGUGACCGGUCACGAUGGGACUGAGCUACGGCUCAGACUUCUACGGGAGGCAGGAGUGGGGAGUGUUGCAUAAUGGGCGGAAGCCAGAUGCAGCAACGCCGCGUGCGGGAAGUCGGCCAUCGGGUUGUAAACCGCUUUGGCCUGUGACGGGGCGUUAAUGACAGUAACGGGUAAAGAAGCACCGGCUAACUACGUG